CCCCCCAUCCAGCCUCUCCUCAACCCCAAUCUACCACGAACAAAUUAAAAUAUUCUUAAUUUCUAGUAAAGAUGAUUAAAAAUCUACUCAGAGCUUUAUAACUAGUACCGCAAGGGAAUGAUGAAAUAAAAUUAAAUACCCAAGCGCAAAAAAGUAGAGAUUUAACCUUGUACCUUUCGCAUCAUGGCUUAACUAGUCUACUCAAGCAAAAAGACCUUUAGUUUGCCCCCCCGAAACUAAGUGAGCUACUUCAAAGCAGCCCCUAGAGCAAACCCAUCCCUGUUGCAAUAGGGUGGGAAGACUUUCAAGUAGAAGUGACAUGCCUAUCGAACUUAGAUAUAGCUGGUUUUUCGGGAAAAGAACCUAGUUCGACUUAAAAUUAUCUUAAUAUUAAAAAUAUAAACCAUAAAUUUAAAGCAAUUCAAAUAAGGUACAGCCUAUUUGAAACAGGACACAACCUCAUCUUAUGGGUACACACGCACACAACCACUUCAAGUUGGCCUAAAAACAGCCACCUUAUAAUAAAAACGUCAAAAUUUAAUCUGCCACGCCUUCAAUCCCCCCAUCACUCUUUAACCCUUUACCCCUACCGAACAAUUCUAUACAUCUAUAGAACUUUUUAUGUUAAGACUAGUAGCAAGAAACCAACUUUCUCUUAUAAUUUUAGUAUAAGCCAGCAUGAAUAAACCACUGGCACUUAAUAGUUAUGUCCCCCCUGUAGCAACCCCCUUAGAAAAUCCUACUCUCUCCCCUAUUAAUCUUACACAAGUAAAACCCAAGAAAGAUUAAAAAAGAAGGAAGGAACUCGGCAAACCUCGAUUCCGCCUGUUUACCAAAAACAUCGCCUCCUGCCCAGAUAUAGGAGGUCCUGUCUGCCCAGUGACUCUGUUCAACGGCCGCGGUAUCCUAACCGCGCAAAGGUAGCGUAAUCACUUGUUUUUUAAAUAAAGACCUGUAUGAAAGACCACACGAGAAUCGUACUGUCUCCCCCCUCUAAUCAGCGAAACUAAUCUCCUCGUGAAAAAGCGAGAAUUCCUAUACAAGACGAGAAGACCCUGUGGAGCUUUAAACAAACACAUCAAGUUUAUCACCCCUUACUAUGAUUGUUAGUUUUUGGUUGGGGCGACCUCGGAGCAUAAAAAAACCUCCAAGAUGAUACGGAACUUUCCUAAACACAAGGCUACAACCUUAUGUAUCAAUAAAUUGACAUUAUUGACCCUCAUUGAUCAACGAACCAAGCUACCCCAGGGAUAACAGCGCAAUCUACCCCGAGAGUCCAUAUUAACGGGCAGGCUUACGACCUCGAUGUUGGAUCAAGGUAUCCAAGUGGUGCAGCCGCUACUUAAGGUUCGUUUGUUCAACGAUUAAAACCUAACGUGAUCUGAGUUCAGACCGGAGCAAUCCAGGUCGGUUUCUAUCUGUACUUAGCUUUUUCUAGUACGAAAGGAACGAAAUAGCGCGGCCAAUAUUUCUACAAGCCACCCUAAUAAAUUAUGUUACAAACUUAAUAAUUAAUAUAUACACUAAUCCUCAAGAAAA
rnacentral:rRNA from 1 species